rnacentral:tRNA from 1 species
GCGGCUGUAGCUCAGUGGAUAGAGCACCAGCCUCCGGAGCUGGGGGUCGCAGGUUCGAAUCCUGCCAGCCGCGCCA